rnacentral:siRNA from 1 species
ACUCAUGUGUAUAGAAAAACUAAU